rfam:Fusibacter sp. 3D3 DNA, contig: 90.
GGAAAGACCCCGUGGAGCUUUACUGCAGCUUGGCACUGGAUAAUGGUAUAUCAUGUACAGGAUAGGUGGGAGACAUAGAAGUGAGGACGCCAGUCUUCAUGGAGUCACUGUUGGGAUACCACUCUUGAUAUAACGUUAUUCUAACUAUGGACAGUAACCCUGUUCUAGGACAAUGUCAGGCGGGCAGUUUGACUGGGGCGGUCGCCUCCUAAAGAGUAACGGAGGCGCCUAAAGGUUCCCUCAGCGCGGUUGGAAAUCGCGCGAAGAGUGUAAAGGCAAAAGGGAGCUUGACUGCGAGAGGGACACCUCGAGCAGGGACGAAAGUCGAGCUUAGUGAUCCGGUGGCACCGCAUGGAAGGGCCAUCGCUCAACGGAUAAAAGCUACCCCGGGGAUAACAGGCUUAUCUCCCCCAAGAGUCCACAUCGACGGGGAGGUUUGGCACCUCGAUGUCGGCUCGUCUCAUCCUGGGGCUGAAGUAGGUCCCAAGGGUUGGGCUGUUCGCCCAUUAAAGAGGCACGCGAGCUGGGUUCAGAACGUCGUGAGACAGUUCGGUCCCUAUCUGCUGUGGGCGUAGGAAAUUUGAGAGGAGCUGUCCUUAGUACGAGAGGACCGGGAUGGACAAACCUCUGGUGUAUCAGUUGUUCUGCCAAGAGCACUGCUGAGUAGCUAAGUUUGGAAGGGAUAAGCGCUGAAGGCAUCUAAGCGCGAAGCCCCCCUCAAGAUGAGAUUUCCCAUCCUUUAUGGAGUAAGAUCCCAUGUAGAUAAUAUGGUAAUAGGCCUGAGGUGUAAGUACAGUAAUGUAUUCAGCUGACAGGUACUAAUAGAUCGAGGACUUGACCAA